GGACGUGCCAUGGAACUUCGAGAAGGCGGAGAACCAUGUGUACCUCCAUGUCAUGCUUUGGCAGAAGCCGGAUGCCGACGAGUCAGAACGCCUGCUGAAGAAGCCACUCUGCUCACCAUUGGCGCUUUCCGUGGGAAGUCAUAGCAAUGGAAGCGGAGUUGUAGCUCUUCUGAAAAUUGCAAGGAUCUUUUCACACAUCUAUUCAAGCCCUAAGACCAGAAGCAAGUUUAAUCUUCUCUCUGGAUUAACAUCUGGCUGACCCUACAAUUAAAAUGGAACUAGCAAGGUUAUCAAUUUUUAUUACAGUGGCUUGAAGUUUUGACCAACAUGUGUGUGAUAUUAUUGACUAUGCAAUUUACUUGAAUAUCAUUGGUUCCUGGAGCAAUGAUCUCUGGAUGCAUGUAUCAAAGCCUCCAGAGAAGCCUUACAUCAAGCAAAUCUUUGAGGAUUUUUCGGAUGUCUCCAAGGAAAUGGGCAUUUCAGUCGCACAAGAAGAUUAAUGUGUCAAAUUCUAG